CCCUUAGAUGUUCUGGGCCGCACGCGUGCUACACUGAGUGGAUCAGCGGGUCAGGUUGCGCGAAAGCGUUUCCUAAUCUUUAAAUCCGCUCGUGAUGGGGAUUGACGGUUGCAAUUUUCUGUCAUGAACGAGGAAUACCUUGUAAGCGCGGGUCAUCAUCCCGCGCUGAAUACGUCCCUGCCCUUUGUACACAUCGCCCGUCGCUCCUACCGAUUGAGUGGUCCGGUGAGGCUUUGGGAUCUGAGCGGAAAGAGCGUUUCGCUGUUUCUGCUCGGAAAACUCAGUCGAACCUUAUCAUUUAGAGGAAGGAGAAGUCGUAACA
rnacentral:rRNA from 1 species